UACGGGGGGGGCAAGCGUUGUUCGGAAUUACUGGGCGUAAAGGGCUCGUAGGCGGCCAACUAAGUCAGACGUGAAAUCCCUCGGCUUAACCGGGGAACUGCGUCUGAUACUGGAUGGCUUGAGGUUGGGAGAGGGAUGCGGAAUUCCAGGUGUAGCGGUGAAAUGCGUAGAUAUCUGGAGGAACACCGGUGGCGAAGGCGGCAUCCUGGACCAAUUCUGACGCUCAGGAGCGAAAGCCAGGGGAGCAAACGGG
rnacentral:rRNA from 1 species